rnacentral:rRNA from 1 species
GACGAACGCUGGCGGCGUGCCUAAUACAUGCAAGUCGAGCGAGACUCUUCGGAGUCUAGCGGCGGACGGGUGAGUAACACGUGGGCAACCUGCCUGUAAGACUGGGAUAACACCGGGAAACCGGUGCUAAUACCGGAUAAUCCUUUUCCUCUCAUGAGGAAAAGCUGAAAGUCGGUUUCGGCUGACACUUACAGAUGGGCCCGCGGCGCAUUAGCUAGUUGGUGAGGUAACGGCUCACCAAGGCGACGAUGCGUAGCCGACCUGAGAGGGUGAUCGGCCACACUGGGACUGAGACACGGCCCAGACUCCUACGGGGGGCAGCAGUAGGGAAUCUUCCACAAUGGACGAAAGUCUGAUGGAGCAACGCCGCGUGAGCGAUGAAGGCCUUCGGGUCGUAAAGCUCUGUUGUUAGGGAAGAACAAGUACCGGAGUAACUGCCGGUACCUUGACGGUACCUAACCAGAAAGCCACGGCUAACUACGUGCCAGCCGCCGCUGUAA